rnacentral:lncRNA from 1 species
CGUAUUUAUUACCAAUUGUUACUGUGAAGUCGUAUAAUCUUAUGCUUUACUCGAACCUUUAGCGAAACCUUUAGCUCGAAUAGUCCCCACACGUAGUUAUCGGGUCUUACCCGGACAAAAUCUCCACACGUAGUCAUCGAGUCUUACCCGGACAUAAUCUCCACACAUAGUCAUCGGGUCUUACCCGGAAUAUAUUUCCAAGUUUCAUGUACAUUUAAUCACAUGUUACAACAUUCACAUCGACUGUCAUAUUUGUAAUUCAUUUGCCUCAUCAAAUAUCUAAUAAUACACACCUUUCACAUUUGGUCAUUCGGCCAUCAUAUACACACAUCUCCUACAUAUUUCACACUAGCCAUUCGGCUUUACCACAUAUACAUAUCUCAUACAUAUUUCACACUAGCCAUUCGGCUUUACCACAUAUACAUAUCCCAUUCAUAUUUCACACUAGCCAUUCGGCUUUACCACAUAUACAUAUCGCAUACAUAUUUCACAUUAGCCAUUCGGCUUUACCACAUAUACAUAUCUCAUACAUAUUUCACAUUAGCCAUUCGGCUUUACCAAAUAUACAUAUCUCAUACAUAUUUCACAUUAGCCAUUCGGCUUUACCACAUAUACAUAUCUCAUAUAUAAUUCACACUAGCCAUUCGGCUUUACCACAUAUACAUAUCUCAUACAUAUUUCACAUUAGCCAUUCGGCUUUACCACAUAUACAUAUCUCUUAUAUAUUUCACAUUAGCCAUUCGGCUUUACCACAUAUAAGUAUCUCUUAUAUAUUUAUCUUGUACAUCAAUUUCAGCAAUAGCUUAUAAGCAGCUCAAAUAGUUUCAUCAAUGUUUACAACAAAUUCACAUAUUCACUACAAGCUGUUUUCCUGAGCAAUAGUCACUAAAUUAUUUAUAACUGGAGCUACAAAACUCAAAAUCAAUUGCCGUUAAUUUUCCCUGAAUAUAGACUCAUAUAUCUUCCAUCAUAAAAUUUUCAGAAUUUUAGGUUUGGCCAAUCAAUACCAGAUUUUUCUUAAAAUUUCCCCUAUUUCACUGUUUGACUAAUCUGACCACUCUUCACUACGAAUCAAAUUUAUCAUUGUACAGAAUUCAAAAUAUGUUCUAUUUGAUUUCAUUUGAAACUAGACUUAUUAAGGAGUCUAAGAAUAUAAAUUUUAUCUUAUAACCAUUUUUGUACAAAUUAUAAUGAUUUUCUAAAAACAGAACAGGGGAUUUCAGAGUCAUUUUGACACUGUCUCACACAACUUUAAAUAUCUCUUUAUAGAAAAUUUGUUUGCUUCCACGGUCUCUUUUAUAAGAAACUAGACUAAUUAAGCUUUGAUUACAUAUUUUAUUCAGCCUAUAAUUCCACACCAACAAUUGAUAGUGAUUUUCUAAAUUCACGUUACUGCUGCUGUCCUAAGCAAAUUAUUACAAUUUGCUCUUAAAUUUCCAAGUCCAAACACUUAUGAACUUACCAUUUGAGUUUAAGACAUAUCAUGGCCACAUCAUAUCUUAUUAAAUCGAUUCAUUAUUUCCUAUUAUGAUUGAAUUUACUCAACGUUUAAUCACUUAAAACUUACCUCGGAAGUUGUCGAAUGAUUAUGACGGCUCUUCGAUCACUUUUUCCUUUCCCUUAUCAAACUUUGAUCCUCUAGGCUCUUGAGCUAAAUCAAACAAAUUUACUCCUCAAUCAAACACAUACAUACGGCAACCAUAUACAUUUCAAAAACCAAUUCAUUCGUAUCAUUUGUCCAUAUAUUAGCUUUUAUCAUUUUUGGUCAUUAGAGCGACCUAUUUAACUUUCAAGCAUUCAUUUCUAAUUUUAAUUAAACAAUGCCGAAUGCCAUUAACUACUAAUGCCACACACACACAUAUGCAUAAAAUUCAUCCAUACAUAACCUAUAGCUCAUUCGGUCAUUCAUCUCUCAAACCUAUCAAAGCUUCAUAUCAAACUUCCCUGGCCGAAUACACAUAUAGGCACAUAAUGCACAUUUAGCAUUUUUAUUUACUUUAUGAUACAUUCGGCCUUGGCAUAAUUUCAUUAAAAAUCCCUAUUAGCCACUUCACCAAUCAAUUAUAUCAUCUACUUAAUAUUUCAUAACUUAUCAUGCUAGCUGAAUAUUAUUUAUUCAAGUUCAUCAUCUUCAUAUUCGGCAUUAGCAUCAAUUAUAAUAGCCAAUUCUUCCCACUUUGAAUCUAUGCAUCCAUUUAAUCAUAGUUUGUUCAAGCACUCAUACAACAAGAUUCAUCCAAUUUAACAAGAAACAAAAACUUUAUUCCUCCAUAGCUACAAUGGCCGAAAGAUCUAGACAUCUCAAUACCGAAAUUUCUAACAUGGGUUGCCUAAAGAAUUUGGUAGGGAGUUCAAAUUUAUCUAACAUUUCAAGUAACUUAACACAUCUAUAUAGCUAACAUGCUAGCAGUAUCAAGGCAUCAACUAAAAUUUUGAAGCCUCUUAGCCGAAUCCUAACUCUCCAACAACUCCAAUUUCAUCCAUGAGAUAAAUAGAAGUAGGCUAACCCUCCAAAGGAUGUGUAAACCUCCAAAAGCAACAUUGAACAUACCUUAAUCUCAAGAACCACCUUGGCCGAACUUCCCCUCUUCUUCUUCCUUCAAUUCACGGCAAUGGAGGAGCAACCUAGCUAAUUUUUUGUUUCUCCCCUACUAACCACUAUUAUUUUAUUACCCACGUUCUUUAUUUUAUUAUUUCUAACAUAAAACACUAACUUAAAAUGUUUAUAAUAUAUUUUAACCCAUAGCAUGGCCAACCACUACUUGUCAUAGGUGGAAAUUUGACAUGCAAACCCAUUAUUUUCAUAACAUGCACUAAUAGAUCCUUAUAGAUUACCCCAUCACAUUUCAAAGUGUCACACAUAAGUCCUAUUAACUAAAUUCACAUGCAAUUGACCAAAUCGAAGCUCAAAACUUUCACACACUCAUAUUCACAUAUUUUAGACAAUAAAUAUUAUACUCAAAUACUUCGGUGACUCGUCCCGAAACCACUUUCCGACUAGGGUCACAUUAGGGGUGUCACAACUCUUCCCCCCUUUAGGGAUUUUCGUCCCCGAAAAUUUCUACCGAUGCCUAGUUUAGGAUAACGUCCUCUUAUUGAAUUAUAUCCAUAUAAAUAUUAGCUCAUCGAUAGCAAUUGUAAUUCAUUACUGAUUUCGGAUCGAUCUAUAUAAUCAUUUUCUUAUCUUAAAACAAUUACAUAAACAUUUCUACAAGUAUGCACAUAUAUCUCAUUUUCUUGAUUUCAUAAGCAAUAAUCACUUAAUUUAAUUCACAAAUGCAUUUCAAACACAUAUUAAGCACAUAUUAACAUGUAUAAUUCAUACUAUCAACCCACAUAUUUGUAACCCACAUUUUCAUUCAUGUAUAAGCUGUAACCUGACCGAAAGUACACAUAUACUCAAACACCCCAAUAAACAUCCUUUAUAACUCCAUCAUAUCUCACUAUUCAACUUAACCUAUUUCCAAUAGAAAAUCAACUUCCACAUACCUGAACAUUGAAUUCAUUUAGCACAUUCAAUCACCGUUAACGAUACCCGUAUACAAUCGAUUUGGCAUAAAGCCUCAUAUAUUAUACCGGCAUGGGAUUUAUUUUAGCACAUAACCCAUAUAUCCAAAAUUAUCAGCAUUCAUCAAAAAUUCUUACAGACUUUUAAAUGUCGAACUUAAUCGAAAUAAUUUCUUGAACAUGAUUAACAAAAAUAGGGGUCAUUUAGCAAUAGCACAUAUGACUUCAUAUACCAAGCAUUCCAUAAACUAAAUCUGUAACACAUUUAUAUCAUGAAUUCAUUUCUUAACAACAUAUCCACCAUCUUAAAUCAAUGCCUUCGUUCCAUACGAGGUCUUACAUGAAUCUUGUUUUACUCACUUAAUGUCUACUGACCGAUCUCGCACACAUAGUGCUCGGUUGAAGAACUCGCACUCUCAGUGCCUCUAAUCAUUUGCACAUAUAGUGCCCCUAUUCAUUUGUUGUUACACGUUGAAAUGACUUAACCAAGUCUAUAAACAUCAUGUAUGUACACUUUUAAACAUAUCCUUUCAUUUAAAUUUGAAUUCGUAUAGUAAUGAACACUUAAACUUUGCUCAAAUUACCAGCACGAAGCCUACUAGGCACGGAGGCCCGAAUGCACAUCACCAGCAUGAUUGCUCUUCGGGACCUAGCCCGGAUAUAACACCAGCACGAAUGCUCUUCGGGACUUAGCCCGGAUAUAACACCAGCACGAAUGCUCUUCGGGACUUAGCCCGGAUAUAACACCAGCACGAAUGCUCUUCGGGACUUAGCCCGGAUAUAACAUCAGCACGAAUGCUCUUCGGGACUUAGCCCAGACAUAACAUCAGCACGAAUGCUCUUUAGGAAUUAGCCCGGACAUAACACCAGCACGAAUGCUCUUCGGGACUUAGCCCGGCUAUAUAACUCUCAAUUCUCAUGUACAUAUACAUAUAUAACAAUACACAUUAGUAUAUCAUUUACAUUACUUGAAUACAAACACAACAUGCUUAUCGACCAUUCAACUUUCAGUUCCAUAGCCACAUACAAAGAUCACAUUUAUAGUCGUAACACUCUUUCAAAAUUGCAUCACUUAUACCCUUAUAAUUCAAUCCAAAUUAAAAUUCAAAUACGAGUACAUGAUACGUACCUGAUCAACUUAAUGAUUUAAGCAUAUCCAAGUGAAGUUAUAUCGCAAAUUCUCAUAGUCAGAAGCUUGCUACAGCUCGAUCGGGAUGAAAAUUCAUUACAAUACAACAAACACAUUUUAAUAGUCAAAAAUCAUCACACUAUCACUUUAUCACUUUAUGGCAUGUAUAAAUAGACUCACGCGUGCUACGUUAGUCCUAGAAUCGACUAAACCGUAGCUCUGAUACCAAUAAAAUGUAACACUCCUAUCCCGUAUCCGUCGCCGGAAUAGGUAAAGGGGUAUUACCAGACUUGAAACUCAUAUCCGAACAGUAAAAAUUUUGAAUAUAUAUUUUUUCUUUUUUUUUAGAGAACGUUCCUUUAGGUAAAUACUAAAGACAGUCAGGGAUACAAUUUAACUGCUAUAAGUACACAUUCAAAAGAUGCCAUUUUCGCAUGGCUUAUAUACAUUAACCAAAAUAUUCUUCGGCCACUGGUCUAUUCUUUACAUGCCAUAAAAUAUUUCAAAACAUAACAGUAACAAGCAGUGGAUAGUGAUUGUGUGACUAGUUGCUGACGAUCCCCGAGCCUGUAGCUUCCAAAUGAGAUCUAUAAAACAGAGGAAACAAAGUAAACGGAGUAAGCAUUACAAUGCUUAGCAAGUUUUAAGCAGUGUCAACAGAUAACAAUCAGAUUAUAACAUAGUUGUUCGUAUUUUUAUUUCACUCUUCCUUCGGGCAUACCAUCCCUUUACCGAAUAUGCCCAUCUCAUCAUAUAUAAUAGGCAGAUAAAUUCUCACUUGAUAGUGAUCUCUUAUAAACAUAGGUAUAUUUCAUAUUUUCACCUAACUUUCCACAUUGACCAAGCGCACAAUAAUCAUAGAACAGUCUUAUUGGUUUACUCACAUAUGCAUCACAUAACGACCUUGUUAUUUAGUCCAAAUCAAGCUUAAAUAUAAUCUCAAAAUACAUACCUGACCAGCUUAACGCAUUGAACGUAUUUAUUACGAAUUAUUACUGUGAAGUCGUAUAAUCUUAUGCUUUACUCGAACCUUUAGUGAAACCUUUAGCUCGAAUAGUCCCCACACGUAGUUAUCGGGUCUUACCCGGACAAAAUCUCCACACGUAGUCAUCGGGUCUUACCCGGACAUAAUCUCCACACGUAGUCAUCAGGUCUUACCCGGAAUAUAUUUCCAAGUUUCAUGUACAUUUAAUCACAUGUUACAACAUUCACAUCGACUGUCAUAUUUGUAAUUCGUUUGCCUCAUCAAAUAUCUAAU